rnacentral:rRNA from 1 species
UACGUAGGGACCAAGCGUUGUUCGGAUUUACUGGGCGUAAAGGGCGCGUAGGCGGCGUGGUAAGUCACUUGUGAAAUCUCUGAGCUUAACUCAGAACGGCCAAGUGAUACUGCUGUGCUAGAGUGCAGAAGGGGCAAUCGGAAUUCUUGGUGUAGCGGUGAAAUGCGUAGAUAUCAAGAGGAACACCUGAGGUGAAGACGGGUUGCUGGGCUGACACUGACGUUGAGGCGCGAAAGCCAGGGGAGCAAACGGG